GUCAGCCGCCGCGGUAACACCGGCAGCUCUAGUGGUAGCAAUUUUAUUGGGCCUAAAGCGUCCGUAGCCGGUUUAAUAAGUCUCUGGUGAAAUCCUGCAGCUUAACUGUGGGAAUUGCUGGAGAUACUAUUAGACUUGAGACCGGGAGAGGUUAGAGGUACUCCCAGGGUAGAGGUGAAAUUCUGUAAUCCUGGGAGGACCGCCUGUUGCGAAGGCGUCUAACUGGAACGGUUCUGACGGUGAGGGACGAAAGUUAGGGGCGCGAACCGGAUUAGAUACCCGGGUAGUCCUAACUGUAAACGAUGCGGACUUGGUGUUGGGGUGGCUUUGAGCUGCUUCAGUGCCGAAGGGAAGCUGUUAAGUCCGCCGCCUGGGAAGUACGGUCGCAAGACUGAAACUUAAGGAAUUGGCGGGGGAGCACCACAACGCGUGGAGCCUGCCGGUUUAAUUGGAUUCAACGCCGGACAUCUCACCAGAGGCGACAGCUGUAUGAUAGCCAGGUUGAUGACUUUGCUUGACUAGCUGAGAAGAGGUGCAUGG
rnacentral:rRNA from 1 species